UUCUCCAGUAAUUUCUGAUUUUGUUCCAGAUCUCCAGCAUUUGUUGUCCUUUGUCUUAUUUAGUGUAUUUGAUAGCUUUGUGCAUGAAUUUAAUUCUUCCUCCACUUUGUUCAUACAAACAAUGCUAAUGUAGUGUGCCAAAGGAAAAGCGGAAUCUGCUUGCUAGAUCUUAUUAUGUAUUGGAUCAAUAGUUUAUGUAGAACAUGUAAAAUUUUCUUGUUAGAGCCUGAUUUUGCAUUUCAGCAUUGGUCCUUUAUUUGUUGAGUGAAUAUUGCAACAUAUAGUCAGAAGAUUACUGUUUUAUACACUUAUGCUGAUUCAGUGUCUUCUGCGAAAUGUCAUGUUGAUCUUGACUGUUAAUAUUUUCAGUUUAUUUUAGUUUAAAGGUUAAAUCUUGCAAGGAGCAUGCUGGGAGCUAUUCAAGACGAGAGUAGAGCUGCCUCAGAGGCUUAAAGUUCUCUUGAGAUAUUGCUAGAUGUUCAUGAUUCUGUUUUCAAAGUAAGACGAUAGCUAGGGGGCAGUAUCACAAUUGCUGAUAAAAUAUUAGUGUGUGUUGUGGAUGCUGUUUUGGUAGUGCAGAACAGGAGAGGCACCAAAAUACUCUGCCAGCUUGCAUUACCCUGAAGUAGCUUUCAGUGUUGCCAGAAUCUGGAAGGUAAAAAUGUGAAAAUGCAAUAAUUUGAAUCCAAGAUGUUCCUGACAGGGAGUUAUACUUGCAUUGUAUCAGAUCAGAACAUACCUGAAAGAAACUGUCUAUAGUUUGCUUACUUGAGCAUUUCUUGGCAUAAUCUUGCAACUUUUUUUAUAGCAGCCAAAAAAAGUGUAGCUUUAUGACCCAUAAUGAUUCUGACUUUAUGUGCUGAAAUCCUUUUUCAGUACAGGAAAAUAUGCAACUUAGGACCACACUCUUGUUUCUUGGUCAUGAUGUAGAGAUGCUGGAGUUGGUCUGGGGUGGACAAGAUCAAAAAUCCAACCCGGUGUUGUUUGAUUUCUGACCUUGUUUCCUGGUGUGUGAUUAUUUGGAUUAGCAUCAUCCCUCUUAAGUUCUCCAGUAUUUUUGUUGGAUUGGAAUGAAUUAUUGUAAUUUCAUGCAGAUCAGUAUUGUAGUAAUUCACUGCAGAUUUAAUUAAUUGAAAACCAAUUCUCUCAUUGCCUUUGUAGAGUGAAUAAACCAAAACCUUGAGCUUCGGUUUUAAACUUGACAAUGUCUGAAACAUUGGAAAUCAUGAACACUUCGGUUAUCGCAUUUUAAGUGUGGGUUUUUUCAUGAGAUUUUGUUUGCAGGUCUUGCUGAUGGCUAAACAGUAGCCUACAUAUUAAAUACCAGCUAAACAAUGAACUUUAAUCAGACUUUUGAAUGGACCUCUUUAAUGUAAAUGUUGAUCUCUGCACCUUUUCAGCAGCUGUAACAUUGUAUCCUCCACAUUUCUGUAAUCCUAAUGCAUUCAUAAAGUACGAUCUGUCUGUAAAGCAUGUAAGACAAUGCUUUUCACUGUACCUCGGUACGUGACAAUAAUAAAUCAAAUCAAACAAUUUAUUUAACUGUGAGCUGUAACUACAGCCUUAAUAUUGAGCUAGUUUGAAUCUGAUGAUUGAUUUAACCUUUUUUGUCUGCAUUGCCACAAAGAGGUAUAGUUUUAUAAAUCACAUGUUUUGAUUCCAAAUGGCUUUCUUCGAUUCAAAUUUAAAUUUUUGGUGCUCCCCUUGGGUAUUCCUCUAUUAGUUUUCACAGGACUCAUAAUUGUCAUUCCAGAAGCCCCUUCAGUGUUAUGGGAAGCAAGUAAAUAAAACAUGGCAAUGCCAUGUUUCAAAUAAUCUAAUAGUGUUAAGGCAUUUUACUUGUACUGUACUGGCAUUGCUGUUACUAGUCACUGCUCAUCUGUGCCUUCUUGAAGAUACCUCUUCGCUUAGCAUUAGUCUUUCUGGUGUGUUCCCUAUCUAUGCAUUGUGUCUAUUCUAUUACAUGGAUCUUUAAUGUAAAAUUUAUUUUUCUGCUUGAGGCCAUUAAUUUUAAUUUAAAAAAAUUCAGUCUGUCACUUUAUUAUUCGUUUCAGUUAAUAUAUCACAAACAAGAUCUUCACUGAUCCUUCAGUGUGCUGUUCCUGAUUCUGUCCUUUCUUAUUAACACAUCUAAGCUUGGCAUCUGCAUCUCCAUAUCGAGUCAUUGUUCCCUCGCUGCCCAAGUUUAUGCACUUUACAACAAAAUUACUGAACAGUUGCCUUGUGUGUUGUUUCCUCUUCAGCAUUAUUUAUUUUUGGUCACAACACUACAGUUCUUUCAUUUGUUCCAGUCAAAACUGAUCUAUUGCUUGUCUUCAAUUUCCAUACAUUCCAUCUUCUACUUGAGGUUGCUUAGUUUCUCCCCUAAUAUUUACACCUUUAAUCUGAUAUUCUUCCAUGAGCAUAAGCUGACAGUUCAUAAAUUGGGAUGUUCAUUCAUAGAUCUUUGUAUGUCUGUCUUUCUGUUUUACCCCAGUUGUUCAGAUAUGGUGAUAUAUUCCAACAACACCACAUAGAUUAGUGUCAUCUGCAAGCAUCAUUGAGCAAUGAGACAAAGUAUCAUGGUCAUUGCGAGCAUUUUAGACGUUGAGGGAAAGAAAAGGCUCAGUGGUAGUCUUUGGUGCAUUCUAACUUUAGCUUCACCAACAUUGCUGCUUGUGCCUGUCUACAGGCCUACACAUGUAGGAAGAAUGCUGCUCAAGGGCUUCACAAGUUACAGCACCGUUCCAAAUUGCUUUCCUAAGUACCUUCUUUAGAUCACUGAAAUUAAUCCUCAUGUAUAGUGAAUAAAGAUUGCUAAAUUCACCAAAUUACUUGAAUUGGCAUGUUAUUUUGAUAUUGCCAUCUUAGCUGUGUUGGUAAUUAAUAAUAUUUCACCUAUGCACUUCAGAUGACCAACUUCUUUUCAUGGGGAUUUGGAGCCCUUGAGUAUGUGGGCAUGAUUCAAAAAGAUUAUUUCUGGGAUGUAACUUUCAGUAAAUAUUCUUUUUACUAAAUUGAAAGAAUAGCUGAGAUUGUAAAUCUGUCCAUACAGGCCAGAUUACCUUAAAAUAAUUGCAUUCCACUGAAUGCUUGUAUCUGAGAUAUGCUAAGCAAUCUCUCUGAGAAAGCACAGUCAUCCAUUGAUAUUGUCAUAUGCUUUUAAAUGCCUAGCAGACACUUUCUCUGCAAUAACUUAUUCAAAAUUUUGCUCAUAGCUUUCUUAACACUAAAGAGGAUCUUUUUCAUCAAGAAAGGUUGUGCAUAAAAUAACUCUUUUAAAUUGGUCUCUUGUUGAACAUCUUCCUGAUUGGCCAGCUGCUGCAAUUUCAUCAAGCACCUUGUCAUGUCACUUCUAUUUGGUACAGUAUUCCGCUUCCUGAUUGAAAAUUAUAAAUAUAACUGGUAUGAUUGACUGCACUAGUAUUUAGGUGAUUAAUUGGUUACCAGCAACCUUCAACUAAUCAAGGUGUUGACAUGAAGUAAUUAAUACUAUACUUUGAAAUCUUUUAAAUUAUAUGAUACUUUAUCAUGUGCUUGAUAUUUUGCAGUUUGUUGCCAGGCAAAGUUGCAUUCCUUAGCUGGUAGUUAAUCCUUAAGCUUCUUUUUGCCAUCAGAUUUCUGUUUGUAACAAUCGAUUUUAGAAAAUGACUGUGCUUAUUCUAUCAGUGUCCAUUUGCCUGGGCUAUGUGAUGCAUUGAUGUUUGAUUAUGCCAACAUUUUCCAAACCACAUUUGUUUGCAAGGUUGAGGAAGAAUUUUGCUGAAAAAGCAAUAAUAAUACUGCUGUCUGCCUGUUGUUUCCCUUCACAGUUAAGACAAAAUUUGAAAAAAUAUUUAACUGAAAAUAUUUUGUAAAAAUCACAAAUGUUAUGCAACAUGGAUUUUGAAAUUUAAGAAAGCGCUACUGGCCAAAUUAAUA